UACGGAGGGGGCUAGCGUUGUUCGGAAUUACUGGGCGUAAAGCGCACGUAGGUGGCUUUGUAAGUUAGAGGUGAAGCCCGGGGCUCAACUCCGGAAUUGUCUUUAAGACUGCAUCGCUAGAACGUCGGAGAGGUAAGUGGAAUUCCGAGUGUAGAGGUGAAAUUCGUAGAUAUUCGGAAGAACACCAGUGGCGAAGGCGACUUACUGGACGACUGUUGACACUGAGGUGCGAAAGCGUGGGGAGCAAACAGGG
rnacentral:rRNA from 1 species